CUCAAAGGAAUUGACGGGGGCCCGCACAAGCAGUGGAGCAUGUGGUUUAAUUCGAAGCAACGCGAAGAACCUUACCAGGUCUUGACAUCCUUCGCUACUUCCAGAGAUGGAAGGUUCCCCUUCGGGGGACGAAGUGACAGGUGGUGCAUGGUUGUCGUCAGCUCGUGUCGUGAGAUGUUGGGUUAAGUCCCGCAACGAGCGCAACCCUUGAUCUUAGUUGCCAGCAUUCAGUUGGGCACUCUAAGGUGACUGCCGGUGACAAACCGGAGGAAGGUGGGGACGACGUCAAAUCAUCAUGCCCCUUAUGACCUGGGCUACACACGUGCUACAAUGGAUGGUACAAAGGGCAGCAAAACCGCGAGGUUGAGCGAAUCCCAUAAAGCCAUUCUCAGUUCGGAUUGCAGGCUGCAACUCGCCUGCAUGAAGCCGGAAUUGCUAGUAAUCGCGGAUCAGCAUGCCGCGGUGAAUACGUUCCCGGGCCUUGUACACACCGCCCGUCACACCACGAGAGUUUGUAACACCCGAAGUCGGUGAGGUAACCUUUUGGAACCAGCCGCCGAAGGUGGGACAGAUGAUUGGGGUGAAGUCGUAACAAGGUAG
rnacentral:rRNA from 1 species